rnacentral:rRNA from 1 species
GAAUGCAGCGCAAAGUAGGUGGUAAAUUCCAUCUAAAGCUAAAUAUUGGUGCGAGACCGAUAGCAUACAAGUACCGUGAGGGAAAGAUGAAAAGAACUUUGAAAAUAGAGUUAAAGAGUACCUGAAACUGCUGAAAGGUAACCAAAUCGUUUCCAGUGUCUAUAAUCCGUGGUAUAUUUCAUUGGCGAGUGUAUGCGUGCGUGUGCUGUUGCAGUGGCCUUUUUGGCUGCGCUCGGCGUGUGUGUUGUGUGUGCUUGCUGGUGCCCUGUGCUGUGGUGGGACGUCAAGGUCAGUUCGUAUGCUGCGGGAAAUGGCCACUGAGGAGGUAGGGCUUACGCUUGCGUUUGUCUGUUAUAUCUUGGUGGACGAGUAGUCGCGGUUGGGACUGAGGUGCCUACAACGUGCUUUUGAGUGGAUUUGGGUCUCCGUGUGCGCCGUGUGCGGAUAGCUUGCUAUGCGUGUGUGGCUGUGUAUGGAUUGAUGCGAGUCGUAACUUGUAGCCGUUCGGGACGUUGACGAAAUGGAGCGAUUUGACCCGUCUUGAAACACGGACCAAGGAGUCUAACAUAUGUGCAAGUGUUAGGGUGUGGAAACCCCAGCGCGUAAUGAAAGUAAAGGAUAGCGUAAGCUGUCUGAGGUAGGAAAUGCUGCGGACUUCGGUUUGCGGCGUGGCACUAUCGACCGAUCAUGAACCCUCGUGGUGAAAGAUUUGAGUUCGAGCACAUAUGUUGGUACCCGAAAGAUGGUGAACUAUGCCUGAGUAGGGUGAAGCCAGGGGAAACUCUGGUGGAAGCUCGUAGCGAUUCUGACGUGCAAAUCGAUCGUUGAACUUGGGUAUAGGGGCGAAAGACUAAUCGAACCAUCUAGUAGCUGGUUCCCUCCGAAAUUUCCCUCAGGAUAGCAGCAACUUAUUUACGAUAGUUUUAUGAGGUAAAGCGAAUGAUUAGAGGUUUCGGGGAAGAAACUUCCUCGACCUAUUCUCAAACUUUAAAUCUGUAAGACCUGCAGGUUU